rnacentral:rRNA from 1 species
UACGGGGGGAGCAAGCGUUGUUCGGAUUUACUGGGCGUAAAGGGCGCGUAGGCGGCCACUGCAAGUCGGUUGUGAAAUCUCCGGCUUAACCCGGAAAGGUCAAUCGAUACUGCAGGGCUAGAGUGCGGAAGGGGCAACUGGAAUUCUCGGUGUAGCGGUGAAAUGCGUAGAUAUCAGGAGGAACACCGAUGGCGAAGGCAGGUCUCUGGGCUGUAACUGACGCUGAGGAGCGAAAGCAUGGGGAGCGAACAGG